rnacentral:miRNA from 1 species
GAGGAGGGAGGAUGUCUUGAGCCUGGGAGGUUGAGGCUACAGUAAGCUGUGAUUGCACCACUGCACUCCAGCCUGAGUGACAGAGCAAGACUCUGUCUC